CAAUAGCGUAUAUUAAAGUUGUUGCAGUUAAAAAGCUCGUAGUUGGAUUUGUGGUGUACUUCGGCGGCCCGUCACUAUGUGAUGGAGCUUGCUGAAGUCGCCAUCCUUGGGUGGAUCCUGUGUGGCAUUAAGUUGUCGUGCAGGGGAUGCCCAUCGUUUACUGUGAAAAAAUUAGAGUGUUCAAAGCAGGCUUAUGCCGUUGAAUAUAUUAGCAUGGAAUAAUAAGAUAGGACCUUGGUACUAUUUUGUUGGUUUGCGCACCAAGGUAAUGAUUAAUAGGGACAGUUGGGGGUAUUCGUAUUUCAUUGUCAGAGGUGAAAUUCUUGGAUUUUUGAAAGACGAACUACUGCGAANGNAUUUAGNAAGGAUGUUUNCAUUA
rnacentral:rRNA from 1 species